AGGCCUAACACAUGCAAGUCGAGGGAGAAGCUAUCUUCGGAUAGUGGAGACCGGCAGACGGGUGAGUAACACGUGGGAACAUACCGAGUAGUGGGGGAUAACAGUUGGAAACGACUGCUAAUACCGCAUACGCCCUUCGGGGGAAAGAUUUAUCGCUAUUCGAUUGGCCCGCGUUAGAUUAGCUAGUUGGUAAGGUAACGGCUUACCAAGGCGACGAUCUAUAGCUGGUUUGAGAGGAUGAUCAGCCACACUGGGACUGAGACACGGCCCAGACUCCUACGGGAGGCAGCAGUGGGGAAUAUUGCGCAAUGGAGGAAACUCUGACGCAGCCAUGCCGCGUGAGUGAAGAAGGCCCUAGGGUUGUAAAGCUCUUUCAGACGUGAUGAUGAUGACAGUAGCGUCAGAAGAAGUUGC
rnacentral:rRNA from 1 species